CUUAGACCCGAGUGGGAAAUUCAGCUCCUGUGGGGUGUGUCACCCUCAUCCGCUGAAGAUGCUCCCCGAGUCUCCAGGGAUUCCUGCCCUAACUGCUCUCCAGCCGUACCAAGGAAAAAGAAGUCAAGCCUCAGAGUCUACGGCCCUCAUGCGACGGAAAGUGAGUGAGAGCAGCGAGCCUGUGACCGUUGGUGAUGCCAGGCAAGAGGCCUCCAUCUGGGAGCCGAGCAAUCGCCAGUCUCGGUGAGGACACGGGUAGGUGUGCAUUCCCACAGGUGAGGUCUCGGGAGCCAUGGAGAAGUCGGAGCGGAGGAAAAUCAUGCCGGGCAGUGGGUGCGAGCGUGGAGCGGUGACUGUCGGGGUUAACUCUGUCUCGGUUCAUCGCGUGGGGCUGAUGCGCUGAUGAAGGCAAGAUUUCCAGCACCAAUGGAGCAUUGUAUAAUGAUAGCCUACGCGAUGUGGCCCACUGAGAUGGUAACUUCUUUGUUUUUCCUCCUUGGUCUGGGUUUAGUCCAAACAGUUGACUCCCCUCAUCGGAUGGAAAGCGAGCGAGAGCGGUGAGCCUGCGAGCACUGUUGAUGCAGCCAGGAGUCGUCCGGUUGGCAGCGGAGCAGUCGCGAAUGUCCGUGAGAUAAGUGUCUGGUUUGGUUAAGGCUUUGCUCACGGCCCGCCUGGCUCCAGGUAGGGACUCCCCAUCAGCUGGGGCUGGGUUUGUAAGAAAAGGUUCCUGACCAGCUGUGGUUAGGAGAGAGACAAGGUCCCCAUUUUCAGGGGCUGCUCAUUUCUCUGGCCAGGAACGGUGUCUCCUUCGCAGGAGAAGGUGGCAUCUAGGAGGAUGACUCCAGCUGGACACGGGUAGGUGUGCAUUCCCACAGGUGAGGUCUCGGGACCCAUGGAGAAGUCGGAGCGGACGAAAAUCAUGCAGGGCAGUAGAAAGGCUGCUGAAAGUACCUGAAGAGACAAAGGAAAUGAGAAGGGGGAAGUCCAGACUAAGACAGGAGUCUAGUCUGUAAAGAGAAACAACGGGAAGUCUAAGCUACAGAAACUCUUCAAGUUGCCGAAAGACAUUUAGGAUGGGAAAUAACUACUUGAAUCCAGUCUCUUU